CCUUUUGGAACGCUUCAAAUCCAAACUAUCAUCUGCGAUUUCGGAGUCUCCUAGUGUUCCAGAGGAAGACGUCGAGGAACUUGGCGAGGAUGACGAUAAGGGCUGGAUGGCCCAUGUUCUGCAGUUUGAUGAACAAACCAGAAAGGUAAAAGAUGCCAACAUGCAGGACGAAGACACGUUCGAGAUCUAUGAUCCACGCAACCCCGUCAACAAGAGGAGACGAGAGGAGAGCAAAAAACUCCUGAAAGAGAAGAAGGCCAAGAGGUGAGACUGUCCGUCUGGAGUGACUCCUACCAUUAGAAAUGGUACAACAUAAGGCGGAUAAGGAUUUCUAGCUGAGAAGAAUUGAAUUAACUGUAAGUGGGGAGAUAUCUGCAGACUCUUUCUUGAAAAGACAUUCAUUUCUGUCUACAGAUUUUGAGAAUGCUUAUGAUGAUGGCAAACAUUUAUUGUUUUUAACCCAUAGAUGUAAGAAAAAUGCCGCCAUCUUGUUCUUUUGGUUAUUUUGUUUUUUUUUGCAUCUUUAUGCCAAACAAACUUCUUCAUGAACCGGUUUAAUCAUUCUCUUGAAGUGAAAGUGUAUGUUUUCGUCACGGUAAUAAAAUGUAUUAUUUCUGCA